ACUGCCUGAUGGAGGGGGAUAACUACUGGAAACGGUAGCUAAUACCGCAUAACGUCGCAAGACCAAAGAGGGGGACCUUCGGGCCUCUUGCCAUCAGAUGUGCCCAGAUGGGAUUAGCUAGUAGGUGGGGUAACGGCUCACCUAGGCGACGAUCCCUAGCUGGUCUGAGAGGAUGACCAGCCACACUGGAACUGAGACACGGUCCAGACUCCUACGGGAG
rnacentral:rRNA from 1 species